rnacentral:rRNA from 1 species
GAUGAACGCUGGCGGCGUGCCUAAUACAUGCAAGUCGAGCGAACGGACGAGAAGCUUGCUUUUCUGGUGUUAGCGGCGGACGGGUGAGUAACACGUGGAUAACCUACCUAUAAGACUGGGAUAACUUCGGGAAACCGGAGCUAAUACCGGAUAAUAUUUUGAACCGCAUGGUUCAAAAGUGAAAGACGGUCUUGCUGUCACUUAUAGAUGGAUCCGCGCUGCAUUAGCUAGUUGGUAAGGUAACGGCUUACCAAGGCAACGAUGCAUAGCCGACCUGAGAGGGUGAUCGGCCACACUGGAACGGAGACACGGUCCAGACUCCUACGGGAGGCAGCAGUAGGGAAUCUUCCGCCAUGGGCGAAAGCCUGACGGAGCAACGCCGCGUGAGUGAUGAAGGUCGUCGGAUCGUAAAACUCUGUUAUUGGGGAAGAACAUAUGUGUAAGUAACUGUGCACAUCUUGACGGUACCUAAUCAGAAAGCCACGGCUAACUACGUG